ACGUGCAUAAAGAAAAGGGGAUAUCUAUUCCACUUUCAAAUUUGACUGAAAAAGUUUUCCUUUUGAAGCAACUUCUGAAGUUCUUCCCAAAUCGAUCGGCAACUGUGUUUCAUUUUAUGUGUAAGAAAUCUAGGGUUUUCCCAAAAGAGGACGCUUAGAAAGGAAAAGCUUCAGUCGUCGAAUACAGUUUCGAUAUGGUUCGUAGAAGCGAAAGAGUACUUUGGUUGAAGUUCUAGGUCAAGAAAGUCGAACAAAGAUAAACCUAUUUUAAUAAUCAAUGAUGCAGAGGAUGAACUCGUUAGAAAGGAAGAGUAUUACUGCUCAUAUUUUGAAGAGACAUGUGAUGACUGCCCCAUGACUACCCUUCUCUGGUUGCGAUGUUUCCAGGAAAUGAAGUUUAUAACCAAACAGGACCACAUGGAACAUAAAUAGUGAUUUACGAAGAAAAACCACUAUGAGAAAUGGGCCUUUUAAUAGCCUAAGAGGAUAAUCUAUUUUAGUUAGGGCUAUUGAAAAAUAAAAAGAAAAAAAAACAUGGAAUAAUUAAAAAACAAUUGUCGCCAAAUUUACCUCCCAAACCUCUAUUUUUCUUUUGCACUACGAUAAUCGACCGUCGCCUUUGCGAUACCCACACACCAGUCGUCUCCUUUGCGAUACCCACACCGACUGUCUUUUGCUCAAGCUCUAUCGCCAUGCACGACCAACGUCCAUCCAACUUAUUGAGUGAACGAGCUACCCAAUUCUUGUCAAGAGGCAUUCCUUUCAUCUUCAAUUUGUGGAUUGUGAGGCAUCUUACAGAAGAUGAUUAUAUGGGUUAUCUCCAUUUGUUGGGAUUUUGAUGUGUGUUUCUUUCAUUGAGUUCUUGCCGUCUCUCCUUUUCUUUUUUGUCCAUUUGAAAUUACUUUAUUUCAGAAAUUUGGACUAGAAGCUUUAUUUGUUUGUUUGCUUUGAAACUCUAAUACUAGCUUCAACGAUGAGUUGUCUUUUAUAUUCUAUUCACAUCCUGUUAAGGAGCGGAUUGAAAAAUGGCUUAAAGAAAGUGGAAAAGUUGCUGCCUUAUUGAAAGAAAAAGAAGAUUUGACAUUUUUUAACCAAAGAGGUUGGGCAAUAAGAAAAUGCCUAGAGAGAGAUUUCAGGUUUAGAGAAUGCAGUUGAGAAGUUGGAGUUACCUUUAGAAUCCAGUUAGGUUAGCCUUAAAGCUCUCACUAUUCAAUCGGAGAAAUACCAGUUCUUCGCUCUACUUCCUCGCCAACCAAUAAAAGGUUAUGAAAGCGGUCGAGAUAUUUCUAAUUUGCACUUUCUUAGAAUAUUAAUUAAUAAUGAGGCUCUAAAUAGUAAGUGAAAGUCCUCGAAAAGUUCUCCAUUUUGAUAUUUUUCAUGCAAUGCAAUUAACAUUGAAGAAUUAAAUCUUGAUGUUUUUUAUGACCAUGUAAGUCAGAACCUGAGGAAGAUAAUUGUGAAGUGAAGACACUACUAAAACAAAAAAGAAAAAGUAGAUUUAUCAAUUAUUGUGUAACGCCGUAAAGUUUCUUAUUGGAAGACUCCUCACCCCACCCCCCAAUGAAGUGUUUGUAAUUUCGAACUAUUGUCUAAAUUUUGUGGCUUAUUUGAUAAAUGUUUUUUGAAAAUGCAGGUUUGUGCAGUACAAUUUCAUCUCUUUGUAACAUGUGUUAUGUUUCUUAGCCGAGAGGGAUUUUGACGAGCAUGUAUGUGAGCAGAGUUAAGGUGCUUUCUCAUAAUUUCUAGUGAUGUAUUACGCACUCCCCAAACCACUGUAUUUAUGUCACACCCCGCCCCAACUAUAGCUCAAUGCUUGAAUAUCUUAUAUUUGUAUUUGUAUUUGUAUUUGUGUUUUAGACUUAGAGUUGUGUUGUGUUAUGUAUGUCUAUAUCUUAUUCUAUGCGAUGAAGCAUAGUCAUUGCAUGCUAAA